rnacentral:misc_RNA from 1 species
UUUUUUGAGUAAGCAGCUUGUUUCCCCUUGAAAAUUUGAAAAAGAAAAUUGUUGCCAGAAAACAAAAUAUGCAAAUCCCAUAAACGAUCAAACUAGGUAAGUUUUACAGAAUUUUUGGUUUUUCAAUUAGCUACUUGGCCUUUUUAAGGAGGUUAGAGGUGCGGAACUCAGCUUCAUCCCUGAUGAAACUCCACCAAAUGUAGGUAAGAGAGAUGGUGCUGGCAUGCCAAAGAGCAUGGGCAUCCACAAAUCCUUUAUAUGGUGGGAAAUCGUAGAUUUCUAAGAGCACUGCAAGGCCACCUCCAACCACCACAACCCACAGCUUCCGGCGUGAAGGAUGGCGGCUGAUACCAGCCCAACUUGCUCAAAUGAGAAGCUGAGCCACUGCCAUGAUGACACAAAUUUUCAUGUUCCAACCUGUAACAAAUUAAAAAUCAUGUCAGUCUGUCAUCACUAAAUACAAGAAAACUUGUGCAUUAUAGAGAUGGGAACAAUUAGGGUUAAUUUUAUGUGCGCUCUGCUCACUCAAGUUCCUAUAAACAUCCCUCAUACUAAAAAAAUCAUGUCAUUAAAAUAAUUGAAAUGGCAUAUAAUCACAAUUGAACCACCAUUUCAGCUUACGGGCAGCAAUUUGUCUCUUGAUUACACUCACUGAAGUGACAGUUAAAAUUUAUUUUUAGUUAAUUAAAGCUAAUUGUUGGUCCCACAUUGAACUCAAAUGCAAUUCUCUUGUACUUAUCUCUUGCAUAUGUGGAGCUCGAUGGAGGUCUUUCUGGUUUUUUUCUUCUAUUUCUUGAUCAUCUUUGCUUGCUUUUGGGCUGGAAACUCGUAGUCUAGCUUAUAGAAGUUGAUGAACAAUAUAUGAGUAGUCACAAAUGCAAGUAGUGGAGCAGCAACCAUGACCCUUGCUGCUUCAUCCUUCACACUGAAACUUCUUAGUAUAGCCAGAAUAAGUGAGUAACCCACUAAUGCCACUGCAGAAGAGUAGUCCAUCUUUUCCGUCAAGUCCACAUCUCGGCUAUGGAAAACAGCACUCCAGAACCAGGAGUUCAUUGAUAUGCAUCCAUAGAUAUGCCACAGAGUGCCAUAUUCAUAGUAUGCCUUCUUAUCUUGUUUUAAAGGUAAUUUAUAGUACAGAAGCACAAAAAAGGAUAGCCAACCAUGGAAAUGCACUGCAAGGUUGAGUGCAGAGAAAGCUACAGAGGCUGGCUCCUGAAUUCCAUACACACGUGUAAAGGGCCAUUUACCAUGGUACUUGACAGGACCAUGGCUAAAUACAUCUCUUUCCUUUUCUCUAUCAAGCAUGCAAUGGUAACGGCAAUCACUUUGGCAAUCCCAUUGUUUCCACCUCAAGUAAAGAGGUUCUUGCAUAUACCAUGGACCAUCAAUUGAGUCACCAUCAGACGAAAAUUUGCAACGAGAAAAACAUCUUUGCCCCACACAUCCUGUUUGUUAACAUUGUCCAACACAAUCCCUGUAGGCUGGAUCAGAAUCACCGGCACUGGCAUCUAGAACUUCAAUAAUGAAAUCACCAGAAAAAAACCAAUCGAAUAUCGAUCUACCAUCUGAUUAGAAAUAACCAAAAUUUGAAAUCUAGAAAAUUUGCCAAAUUUAUAUAACAAAUUUUGAUGGAGCAGCAGUUUAACAUAGCAAUAUUCAAGCAUCACUGUUUGCAUCUAAGAAUUACUUCAUAGUCUACGUAUCCUUCUUUCCCUUUUAUUUUUCUUUCAUUUAUCACCUGCCCUAUAGAUUUCCUCCAUCAUGUGUUAUGGCAAGCAGUUCUAAUAUCAAUCCAAAGAUGCAUAUCCCACUAUACCGUACAGCAAAUCCAGAUUACAAAUUAUGUAGAACUUAAGAAACCUAUAGACUAUAGCAUUAUACACAUUGCAAUCGAAGUUAUCAGCUUGCCAUAAUCAUUUUCCUUAUCCCAUGUCAUGAUGAUUCUUUCCAACAUGAUAUAUUACCACUCCAUGAUAAGAACUCCCUAUCAGUUCAAUGUUUUUAUUGUAACCACUAACCAGCGGAGUUGUUGCUUCAAUUGGCAGAAAAAUUCACUACUCUGCCAAUUAAAUUUCGAAGAGACAUCCCAAAAUGACUUGAUUAAUAGAUAAAAAUUAACAUAGACAAAUUCUUAUCUAUCAAGAAAGUUAGAACUGCCCAUAACGCUUACUUUUGUUCUAAUUUAAAGUUAAAAUUUGAUUUAAUAUCUUGCACUUAGACACUUGUUUUUUUGUAAAGAAGGUAAUUAAUUAGAAACUGACCGCAGAAAGCAGUGAAGAUCCAAAGAGAACUUGCUCCCUUGAAUUACAUAAAAAUGAAGGAAUCCUGAGGGCGCUAGUGGCUAAGAAAUGAGCCAGAUGAUUAGCACCUCUCCUAACGAAAAGUGAAAACGACUUGCUACGGACAAAAUAUCCGAACACUAUCAAGAAGAAAAGGGUAAGCAGGUAGAUGUCAAAAACACGUAAGAAUAUGCUCAAUCUUCGAUUAAAAAGUAAAGCAAAGUUUCUUAGACGAUAGAUCAUACAAUUUGAGAUGCCCACACAGGUUCACAUUGCACUUGAUAAAGAUGAAGCUAAGAGUUGCACAUCGAUUGAUUCAACGAGUUUAUAAGAAGAAAAAGAUCAAAUGAGGUAGAGGAAAGCAAAAAUAUAAAUAAAUGGGUGACUUGCCUUUUUCUCGAUGAUGAAUCCAG